ACUAGUCAAACCGAGUUGUUGCCACAAUAAACCCACACCCAAGCUCCGAUAAAAAAGCCUAGAAUCCUUGUUUUUUCGGAAUCCAAAACGUCGACGUUUCAUAUUCUCGUUCAGCGGUCGGAGGAGCAGAUGACCAGCGGCAGCGGCGGACACGAAAUCGCAGCUCCACUCAAGUGAAGUCGAUGAUGUUGCAUUGGAAUCAGAACGAAAUUUCUACUAUCUCUGGCGAAUUUGACCUCAUUGUUGCGAGUGACUGCACUUUUUUGAAGGAAUUCCACAAUGGACUUGCUCAAAUCCUCAAAUUCCUGCUGGGAAAAGUGCAGCCCUCUGAAGCUAUGUUCUUCGGUCCCAAAAGGGGCGUCUCCUUGGACGAGUUCUUAGAGAGAAUCAAAGAAUGUGAUUUGCGCUUCAGCAUAGCGGAGAAUUAUGAUGCAUAAAUUUGGAAGCUUCAUAAGGAGCUUUUGGAUGGUACUGGUCCGUGGCCUAGCUAUAAAAAAGAUCACUGCUAUCCCUUAUUGAUCAAAAUUACGGUAUGAACUUUUGAACCCAUAUUCCUUCUUCAGCUGCUCAUAUUUCGGGGAAUGUAGAUUCUGUGUGGUAGCAUGGAUUGUGUGUGCGAAUUGUUUUGUUAUCGUAAGGAAUGGGAAAUGGAAUGUACAGCCAAAGUUCGGUAUCGUUGCCCCCGCAAAUGGUGGUGGAUACAGAUCCAUAGUCACUUAAACACCAGAUUCCUUCCUUAUCAUUGUGUAGAUCCUCCCUCAUUUGUAGCUACCAAUUGGAAUGGAAAGAACGGCAUUACCCAUUUUGGUUGAUGCAAAAUAAUUGUGAUUUCCUUUUUAAGUCUGUAGGUCCUGGCAGAUUUAUAGUUUACCAAUUGUAAUGGAAGAAUGGGAUUUUGCUUUUUUCUUGAUUGAUAUUAAAUAUUGUUGAUUUCCCUUUUAGCAUGUUCUGGGGGGGGGGGGGUGCAUGAAAGUUAUAAACUUUCGUCUGAAGACUCCUUAUCUUUAUUUGAGCAUCAAGUCACAUAAUUAGCUUUAAAAAUAUAGCCAUCCAUGACUAAACAUUGACAUGGACAGUAAAGGACGCUGCGGAACAAUGUCAAAAGCGAUAUAUACUCUUUGGAUCGGUUAAACUAACAUAUCAUGGAAGUGGGAGAUUACUUGUUUGCUUUGAAGCUAUGUGUCACUGCAGGCUCACAGAAAGGAAGAACCCUUGUCUGCUUAGUGUCAAGAUGACACGUCCUGGAUCAAAUCCAAAGCUUUUUUAAAGGUGGAUUACGAAUCAUCGUUGAAAAUGGACCAGUCAUGAUCAGAUCAAUCAUCUUAUCCAAAGGAAAAAGUUGGUUGUUCUCUGUCUUUGUAUUGCUUUGCUUUGUGUGGUUUCCCCACUCAAGUGGUUGAAGAAUCACCUCUUUGUAUACAUAUACAUCCAUGAUGUCGAACUCCAAGGAAAUCAUCGUUGUAGGGCGGCAAUUUGGAACAUACUUACGACAACAUGUUUAGGCUUGUUUGCUUAUCUUGUUAGUAAUCAUAACGAGAGAGAAGAUGAACCGUUCAUAAUUGCCAUUACUGAUUGAAAUUACAUAGUUUCUUUUUGGCUUCAGGUAUGAUGAUCAGAAUGGGAGACCCCUACACGCACUCCUUUUGCUGUCAAUUCAUCAAUGCUUACUGCGCACGCCUAUCAUCGUGCUACACGUUCACAUCGAAAAGUGCUUGCGUAAGUGGAUUAUGUGGUGGUUAGAUUACGAGUAAUUCUUCUGUGUGAUUGUCGCACUAUCACAAAAACAGAACGUGGAACCUACAAAUAAUUGUAGACCCCAACUACGAGAAAGUGGUCGUGGUUAACAAAAAAAAAAAAUUGUAGGGAAAUGAGGCACAUUUUUAUUUCUAAACAAAUGCUUAUGCGUCAUGCAUUAGUAUAUGUAUGUGUAUGUAUCGAACACCGAAUAUUGUGGGAUUUGGACGUGGGUGGUUUACAAUUGA